rnacentral:rRNA from 1 species
UACGUAGGGGGCGAGCGUUGUCCGGAAUUAUUGGGCGUAAAGAGCUCGUAGGCGGUUCUUUAAGUCGGGUGUGAAAUCUCAGGGCUCAACUCUGAAACUGCACCCGAUACUGGAGAACUUGAGGCAGGUAGGGGAGAUCGGAAUUCCUGGUGUAGCGGUGAAAUGCGCAGAUAUCAGGAGGAACACCGGUGGCGAAGGCGGAUCUCUGGGCCUGUUCUGACGCUGAGGAGCGAAAGCGUGGGGAGCAAACAGG